rnacentral:piRNA from 1 species
CACUUUGCUGCUGCCUGCCC